UCUCUGACUGGCAGUCCCAGGGGGCUGUCUUUUGGGUCCUGGGAACAAACAGGACCAGAUGACCCUUCAGUUGGCUACUUAGGGUGGGAGAAAGAAAAGCAGCAAGUGAAUGGGAAUACGGGAGUGUUAGGAAGAGGCUUAACGAAUCAUGAUGCCCACCUAUGGAAACCAGAGCAGUCUCUUAAGAAGGUACCAGGUCUGGAGAUGGGAGAGCAAGGGCUUCCCGAGUCCUCUAAGAGGGACUGAAAAGCAGAGAUACUGGAGUGGUCUGCUGUUUCCAUCUCCAAAUAAUUUUACAGAUGAAGAAAAGAGGAUUAAGUAACUUGCCCAGCAUUACACAGCUAGAAAACAGAAUCAGGAUUAUCACAUACUGCAACCUCUGAAGAGAUGUAGACUGGUAUCCUGCUGGAGCUACUGAAGACCCCUUAAAAAAGUUCUUGCCACCAAAGUACUUAGCAAUAUUAAAGAGUUUAACAUCAAAAAUCUGAUGUGAUUCUAACAGCCUAAAAAGCAUUAGAAAAGAGAAAGUAAACAUCUCUAAGGAUCAUGGGACUUUGCCAUCUAAUUUGCAGCUGAAACCUUCCAUAUACGUUUUCUCCCCCAUUAGAAUGUGAACUACUCAAGAGAAGGGAUUGUCUUGCUUUUUUAUUUGUGUCCCCAGUGUUUCCCAUAGGGCUUUGUGCAUAGUAACCUCUUAAUGCUUCAUUCAUUCAUUCUGUCUUCCACAGAAAAGGAAAUAAUUGAAUGGAUACCCAGUUCCCUCCCAACAUUCCCAAAAGGCAAUCCUUUUCAUUACAGGUCUUGAACUUCACAGCUUUAUUACAGGCUGGUCUACGAGUAGAUAUGGAUAUGGCCAUGUUGUAUGUGUCUCUGGGCAUGUAGUGCCAGAAGUUUCAAUUCCAGGCCUUCAAACUAUAUUUUGUAAAUGAGUCCCUUUUUCUGGAUACCCUCUCUUUUCUUGGGCUCCCAAGCACUUCUUGGACAUCAAUCUGUGCUUGUAUUUUAGGGCAGAGCUUUGUGACAGCUUGGGGAGGAGCCAGAGGUCAGCAAGUGUUGGGUAUAAGCAAUCCAGGUCCAGACUCCAGUGACAGAAAGAAACAACUCCUAAGCAACCUCUUUUUCCCUCUAAAAGCCCUUUAUGUUCUUUUCAACCUAAUUUCAUGUUAAUUAAAAUAGUUGGGUUAAGGAGAGAGUGUGGAAUAGUGGAUAAAAGUAUGUUUUCAAGUCCUUUCUCUGACAGGUUGCAGCUAUGUAACCCUAUGGCAAAUUAUUUAACCUUCCACUACCCUGGUCAAUUCCUUAUGACUAUAAAUUUCUGCUAAGUUGCUGAGCUAUCAUUCAGAAAAUUUUCUGUUAAAACCAGAAGCCCAAACCUCAACACACUACAAAUAAGUAGGGUGGGGGAAUAGGAGACUUAUUGUCCUAAAUUCCAUAUCCCCUUAGGGGUUCUCUUCUUUCCCCCAUUAGUUCCCUUCAGGGACUUCAGUUUCCCAAUUUUCCUGAUAGAAUUUCGGGAAGUUAUUUUCCCACCCUGGGCCUUAGUUUCCUCAUCUGUAAAAUGAGAGAGUUUAAGUGGAUGAUAAAAGUUUAUUUUAGUUGUAAAAUCUAUGAACCUUUGAUCCUCCUCAUCUGGCAAGGUUUGGAGAACUGAGAGUAAGAGGCAGGAAAGGGUUAGAGCCAUGCUCAAUAGAGCAAAGAACUUUACUAGAGGAGGGAGGGUUGAGGGGGGAUUCCAGCUGAGAGAGGGAUCCAUAAGUGACAUUCCGGAGUGGGCGUUAGCAGGAAUGAGCCAGGGCAGAGAAAGGGCAAUACCCCCCUCCAAGGCUCAAGAAUUGGAAAAUGCCAAGCCCAGCAACUACAUACCACUUCCCUCCCCUCUCUCUUUCCUCUCUUGAGACUGUCUUUUUGAUUCCCCUAAUGGAGGAUUUAGGAAUUGUGGGUGGUGGGGGUGGGGGUAGAAAAUAAUGUGGGAGGGAAAUUAGCCAAAGCAAUAUAGGGGGAUCCAGUCAAAGAGCACAUUUAUCCAGUCUACUGCAAUGGCUUACAUCAAGGUCAGAGAAAGGAUAGAGAGAGGAGAAAUUGUACAUAUAAGGAGUAUGUGAUAUGCCUGUGUCUAUCUCAUUGGGUCCAUAGUGAGAAAAUUGUCUCUGUUUAGAAUGUUGUGAAAGCAAAGCUCUUUAGGACUUCAAGGGGCAAAGGUCGAUAAACUUAUUCCAUCACUGGAUAGUCUAAUGUCUGUCAUUUUGGUUCCCACCACAGCACCAGGAUGCUAAAUUUACACAUAUUUGUAAGAAAGAAUCAAAUGUGCACCAGAAUGUGAUUUAUGACUGUGUAUCUAUUUCUUUUUUAAAAUAAAUUUUUAUUGAACAUUUAGUUUUUUUAUUUUUUAUUAUAGCUUUUUAUUUACAAGAUAUUGUAAUUUUUCAGCAUCGACAGUUGCAAAGCCUUUUAUUCCAACUUUUUCCCUCCUUCCCCCCACUUCUUCCCCCAGAUGGCAGGUUGACCAAAUACAUGUUAAAUAUGUUAAAAUAUAAGUUAAAGAACAUUUAGUUUUUUAUAUCACCUAAAUUUCCUUCAGUAUUCCUCCCUUUUCCUUCUCAGAAAGCUACUCCAUAUAACAAAAAAUAUUUUAAAGGAAAAAAGAAAAAAAAGAAGAGAAAAAAAGCAACAAAACUAUUAACUUCCUAGCUCCCCACCCCUGAUAAUAUAGGCAAUGUUCCAUACCCAUGGACCCCAUAUUUCUACAACUCUUCAAAGGGGUGAAAGAAGGGGAGAAGAAAAGUGAAAUGUCUUCUUCUAUAUCUUCUUUGAGGCUAUGCUUGUUCUUUGUAAUUUUGCAACAUUCAUUUUCAAUUAUUUUUUGAUGGCUGUUCUUUCCAUUCAUGUUGUUGCAAUAUUUGCCUAAAUUUUUUCUUGGCCCUGCUUAAUCCAUUCUGUAUCAGUUUGUAUAAAUCUUUCCAAGCUUUUCUAUAUUCAUAAUGUUCAACAUUUCUUAUAGCACAGUAAUAUUCCAUUAUGCUACAAUUAGUUUAACAAUUUCCCAACUGAUGGGCAUUUACUUUGUUUCUAGUUCUUUGCUAUGUCUAA